rnacentral:lncRNA from 1 species
GCAGGAGAGAACUGUGACACAGUUUGAUUUGGCAAACCUGAACCUGAAAUUGCAUUAGGUUUGCUGGAGACUGGUGGUGUUAAAGCAGAAGAGAACUGUGAUACAGUUUGGUAUGGCAAGCUUGAACCAGAAAUCACAUUAGGUUUGCUGGAGACCGGGGGCAUUAAAGCAGGAGAGAACUGUGAUACAGUUUGAUAUAGCAAACCUGAGCCUGAAAUUGCAUUAGGUUUGCUGGAGACCGGUGGCACUAUAGCAUUUACAUCUGGACCAGAAUUGGUCAAUGGGGUCAGUGAUGGAAAGUUAGAAGCUAGCGAAACUGCUGAAGUUGAAACAUUUGUUGCCUUGUUGGCUAAUGCAACUGGCAAAAUUUCUGAAGCUAGGGUAGCAGAAGGUGCAGGAGGCAAUGCAGAAGGUGCGCGAGGCAAUGCAGAAGGUGCAGGAGACAAUGCCGCAGGUGCAGGAGGCAAUGCAGAAGGUGCAGGAGGAAAAUUUAACAGAGGUAAAGAAGCAGAUGUUACACUGGUUGUGCUUGUACUCGCAGGUAGCAAAGAAGAUGGCAAUUCCGGCAAAUUAGAAGAUACAGCCGGUGAAGAGAGACUAAAAUUGGGGUACUGCAUAGGCUGC